rnacentral:lncRNA from 1 species
AGAUAAGACUUGGGCAGCGAGUUUAGUAUUGCAUCUUUCCCAAGCUGCUCAUGCAAGAAAAAGUCGAGCUUGCUCAAACGCUCCAUCAGCUCGAUCAUAUAUAAUACAUGAUCAGUGACAGAGACACCAUCCCGUAUUUUGGUGUUGAAGAUGGCACAACUAGUCUUGUGCCUCUCCACAUCAUCGGGUGUGCCAAAGGCAUCCUCCAACACUUGAAGCAUGUCCUUUGGCUGAGCCAUCUCAAAUCUGUGACUGAAC